rnacentral:rRNA from 1 species
UACGGAAGGCAGCAGUGGGGAAUAUUGCACAAUGGGCGCAAGCCUGAUGCAGCCAUGCCGCGUGUAUGAAGAAGGCCUUCGGGUUGUAAAGUACUUUCAGUCGUGAGGAAGGUGUUAAGGUUAAUAACCUUAGCAAUUGACGUUAGCGACAGAAGAAGCACCGGCUAACUCCGUGCCAGCAGCCGCGGUAAUACGGAGGGUGCGGGCGUUAAUCGGAAUUACUGGGCGUAAAGGGCACGCAGGCGGUUAAUUAAGUUGGAUGUGAAAUCCCCGGGCUUAACCUGGGAAUGGCAUUCAAGCUGGUUAGCUAGAGUCUUGUAGAGGGGGUAGAAUUCCAUGUGUAGCGGUGAAAUGCGUAGAGAUGUGGAGGAAUACCGGUGGCGAAGGCGGCCCCUGGGACAAAGGCUGACGCUCAUGUGCGAAAGCGUGGGGAGCGAAACAGGGAUUAGAUA